ensembl:lncRNA
CGCACUUUCCAUUCGCUCUCGAGCUCGGGCAACCAUGUGAAGAAGUUCUGCUCUUCCCUCACACCUUCUCAUCCUGUGGAUGGAAUAAGAUGCUUUCAAACGACGAUGCCUCGUGCCUCUUUAGCAAACUAGUCGUGGAAGGAUUUCGUGGAUGUGAUUUCUAAUCGAGGAUGUUCGUUUAUCCGUUUCACAUCCAGAUGACCGGUUUUCCGGAGAGUCCAAGGAGAAUAGGCAGCUGGAGCUCGGAGUCGCCCGCAGGAGGAAGUGGAGGCAGCGCUGCCUCAUGAGGCUGAUGUAACACGAGCCCUAUCCCAGAAAUAUGUGUG